GACAGAGGGUGCAAACGUUGUUCGGAAUUACUGGGCGUAAAGGGCGCGUAGGCGGCCUUCUAAGUCGAACGUGAAAUCCCUGGGCUCAACCCAGGAACUGCGUCCGAUACUGGAAGGCUUGAAUCCGGGAGAGGGAUGCAGAAUUCCAGGUGUAGCGGUGAAAUGCGUAGAUAUCUGGAGGAAUACCGGUGGCGAAGGCGGCAUCCUGGACCGGCAUUGACGCUGAGGAGCGAAAGCCAGGGGAGCAAACGGG
rnacentral:rRNA from 1 species